UACGUAGGCAGCGAGCGUUGUGCGGAAUUACUGGGCGUAAAGAGUGUGUAGGCGGUGCUCUAAGUUCGGUGUGAAAUCUCCUGGCUCAACUGGGAGCUUGCAGGCGAAACUGCCGUGCUGGAGUGUGGGAGAGGUGCGUGGAAUUCCUGGUGUAGCGGUGAAAUGCGUAGAUAUCAGGAGGAACACCUGUGGCGAAAGCGGCGCACUGGACCACAACUGACGCUGAGGCGCGAAAGCUAGGGGAGCAAACAGG
rnacentral:rRNA from 1 species